rnacentral:lncRNA from 1 species
CAGAAUCAAUAAAUGUCUGCUAGUUCUGGGAAAUUGAGAAUGAAACAUUUGAAAUGUUUCCACUGAUGUAUUUUAGAUUGUCUGAACGCCUUACUCCAUGUAUUCUGUAAAAGUGAAGAUUGGGAAAGUCUUUUGUACCUUUAAUUCAAGUAGAACCAAGAAGUUUGGACCUUUACAAACAAAUGUAGAAACAGCACCUGCUCAAACCUUGCCAAUUACCCACAAAUGGGAUCGGGGGAGUACUCUGGACUAGGAAUUCCAAGCCAUUGCUCACUUUGAAGCGAAUUCCCAAGACAAAGGACCAUGACAUAUAUCUUUCCACUCCUUUCUCUUAUCUCCCAUUUCUCUUUCUUCUCAAUCUCCAAAAUCGAAAGGAAUUCCAUGGACCAGCUCGCCAGCCACACAAUCCCGGCCAACACCACACCGCUCGUCAAUAUCUGGGGGAUUCAUCACGACCCGGCCCAGAGUCCUGAGCAG